UGUAAGAUAGGAUAAAAUAGUCUUUUAGAUUCAUACUUUAAAGGUUUUCUUAUAG
rnacentral:tRNA from 1 species